AUGGUUCUUUAUGUCUCUCCUACUCGCCUCCACUGCUCUUCCUCUCUCCUUUUUCUUGUCCCUGUCUUUUCUCUGUCCUGUUCCCAGACUUGUGCUUUAUCGCUGCACCCUCUCACCAAGCUGGCAUCUUCUCUUUUCUCCUUCUUCUCUCUUUCCUUUUCUUUUCUCUUUCUCUCUCUUCUCUUUCUCUCUUUGCUUCUCUUUUUCUUCCUCUUUCUCUCUCCUCUCUCUUUCCUUUUCUUCCUCUUUCCUUCUUUCUCUUCCCUUCUCUUUGCUUUUUUCUUUCCCCCUCUUUCUCUCUCCUUCUCUCCCUCUCUUCUCUUUCCUUUUCUUUCUCUUUCCUUCUCUUUCUCUUUCCUUCUCUUCUCUCUUUCAUUUUCUUUCUCUCUUUCCUUCUCUUUCUCUUUCCUUCUCUCUUUCCUAUUUCUCUCUUUCCCUUUCCCUCUCUUAUCUUUCCUUCUCUCUCUUUCCUUCUCUUCUUUCCCUUUCCUUCUCUUUCUCUUCUUUUCUCUCUUUCCUUCUCUCUUUCCGUCUCUUUCUCUCUCUUUGCUUCUCUUUCCUUCUCUUCUUUCUCUCUUUCCUCCUCUUUCUCUCUCCUUCUCUCCCCCUCUUUCCUUUUCUUUCUCUCUUUCCUUCUCUUCUUUCCCUUUCCUUCUCUCUCUUUCCUUCUCUUUCUCUUCUUUUCUCUCUUUCCUUCUCUCUUUCCGUCUCUUUCUCUCUCUUUGCUUCUCUUUCCUUCUCUUUCUCUUCCUUUCUCUCUCUUUCUCUGUCCUUGUCUCUCUUUCUUUCUCUCUCCCUCUUUUUCUCCUCCUGUUCCUGCUGACUGUCACAGUGGCAGUGUCCCCAAGUGACGGAGCAGACUUGCUGAAGGAACAUUUUCAUCUGACAAUAAUUCCUUCCUGGGCCUGGGCAGGGUGUGACGGCCCCCAGUGACAUCUCUGGUGCUGUUCUCACAGUUUAGACAGGUUUUUAUGUCUCUGGCUCAUAAAUUAGUUUUGUCUGUGUGCUGUGUGUUCAUCUGUGGGUGUUUGUCUCGAACUGUGUGCAAAAAACACUAAAACUUGUAACUUACCUCUUUAUACAUAUGUAGAAAAAAAAUAUAAAAAUUUAUUUCAAGGUACAACCCCAUAUCUGCCGUUUUAUGUGAAAGACCUUAGAGCAUAAGGAAUUCAAAAUAUGGAUAUAUAAGGCUUGAAAAUAUAAAUAUAACCUUUGCAUAUAUAAACUAAACAAUAAAGGGCCUGAAAAGGAGAAAGGAUGACCGCUA
rnacentral:lncRNA from 1 species